UUACGGCCAUAUCACGUUGAAACAUCGGUUCCUGUACGAUCACUGAAGCUAAGCAACAUGACCCUUGUCAGUACUUAGAUGGGUGACCGCUUGAGAAUACAAAGU